GAUGAACGCUGGCGGCGUGCCUAAUACAUGCAAGUCGAGCGAACAGAUGAGGAGCUUGCUCCUCUGACGUUAGCGGCGGACGGGUGAGUAACACGUGGAUAACCUACCUAUAAGACUGGGAUAACUUCGGGAAACCGGAGCUAAUACCGGAUAAUAUAUUGAACCGCAUGGUUCAAUAGUGAAAGACGGUUUUGCUGUCACUUAUAGAUGGAUCCGCGCCGCAUUAGCUAGUUGGUAAGGUAACGGCUUACCAAGGCAACGAUGCGUAGCCGACCUGAGAGGGUGAUCGGCCACACUGGAACUGAGACACGACCCAGACUCCUACGGGAGGCAGCAGUAGGGAAUCUUCCGCAAUGGGCGAAAGCCUGACGGAGCAACGCCGCGUGAGUGAUGAAGGUCUUCGGAUCGUAAAACUCUGUUAUUAGGGAAGAACAAAUGUGUAAGUAACUAUGCACGUCUUGACGGUACCUAAUCAGAAAGCCACGGCUAACUACGUG
rnacentral:rRNA from 1 species